rnacentral:lncRNA from 1 species
CUCUUCACUUUAAUACGUGGUGCCCCGGGACGUUAUCAGAGCCAGCCACAGAUGCCACAUGUAAAGCAGCAAACAUCCGGAGUGGCUUCCUGCAAGCCUUGCUUUUCUCAACACAAGAGAUUUACGCAGGGGGUUGGGGGAAACAACUUUCACAAGUAAGAGCCGAGUACACCGCUCGCAUAGCCGUUCGGGUGCGUUAGCACUGCACGGUCCAGGGUCGCAGGGCUCCUGGCUACUAAUUGCGCUCACGUCCCCGGGUCCUUGGGCCGGACCCGAGGCUCUAAAGGCUGGGCAAGGAAGCGACUAGCGCACCAAGAAGCUGUGCCCGUUGCCAGUUGGGGCCUUUGGUCAGCGGGCGCAGAAAUUAACUCGGGUGUGGACUGCAAAAGGAUCCAUUCAGCUCAUGUGGUCCUCACAUCAGAACACAAUUGCACCCAGCACAGAGUGAACUCUCAUGCGGGUACUCUUUGAAGAUCAGAGAGGGGGCCAGGAUGUGGUCCAAGAUUUGCAAAUUUGGGUGAGAAACUUAUAGCCCCCACCUACCCCACCAAUCACUGGAAGCUGCUGACAUUUAUGAGAAGGAGGAGCCGACAGUGGAGGAUGACCAUGAGGGUGGAGGCUCACCACAAACUUGAAACCUUCAAGACCAUUAUCCAUUAACGGGGGAGGAGCACAGGUUCUGUGAGUCACAACUUGAGUUGUAUUAUAUUAAGUAAGGUAAAGACCGUCAACCACGGCAUAUGAGGUCAGGCCACGUUUUGCUGGUGGUUUUUAGAGCUGCUUGGGUUUUAGAAUUGUGGAUAAGGAGUGGUGGACUUGUACACAUUCUAACUCUGGUUUGCUAUUCAGUGUUGAGGAAGUUACUUCCCAGUGCCUCAGGAUAUAGUCACCUAGAUGUUGAGGAAUGACUUAUCUCCAGGAUUAAAGCAGUUGCUGCCACACACAGUGCCAUGAAUUUUAUAAGUAUCCUACAUAUGCGGUUCUUUGAGUGCUCACUACAGCAAUGAAAUCUGGCUAACUUCCCAGAGAGGGAACUGAUUGGAGGAAUAUGGGUGAAUGAAAACACCCAAAGGACGAGCUGAACAGUGAAGAAGAGUAAGACCCAGGGGAGCGGGGGGAGCGGGGAGAAUCAGCUCCUGUAUUUUCUGUGUGUGUUAUGGCAGUCAAAAUUGAGGGCCUGGAGGAGCCAUGUUUGCAAAGCUAAAUCAAAUUUCAGCCUCUUGCCUGAGGAAGCCAGCUCUUUGACUGUAGGAGGAACGGGACAGUUUCCAUCCCUCUACCCAUAACUCCAGCACCAAGAUCAUGUCUGGUGAGGACGAACUCAUUUGCGGUACCUUCUGUCCUCAGUAAAUGAUGCAUUGUAAACUCAUGGGGAAAGGAGCCAUCCAAAGAAAAAUAUGUAUCAUUUAUGUAACAUACCGUUUAAAGGUCUAGUUUCUUGUCUUGGUCCUGCUGCUUAUUAUGUGUGACCUUAAGUGAAUCACUCCAAGUCUCUCAUUUUUAUUUUAUUUUUUAUUUAUUUAUUUUGAGAUGGAGUCUUGCUCUGUCA